UAAAUUUAUUGAAUAAUGGCGUAAAUUGUGGAAAUUUGAAUAAUGGCAUGGUUACUUGAUUGGGGUUAAUGUGAUAUCAUUAUUUGUGAAAGGGAACAAGUGUUAUUAAUGUGUAUGCAUGUAUACAAGUGUGGGUGGGUAGUAUGGAAUAAUUUUUCCUCUUUCUUUUUCUAUUUCAGCCGACACACAUAUCAUCUCUCCCUCUCUCUCUAAACUCUCAUCCGGCUCUCUCUCGCCUCUCACCCCUCCAUCAACUUCUCUCCUAAAUUUCAUCUUCUUAGAGUAAGAUUCCGGACAAAGUCCGAGAAUUAAAGUUGUUCUACGGAGCACGGGCUUUCCGAAUAUCCAAGAAAAAUCAUGAUCGGACCACGUGGGAGUUCGGUUGACUUGGUCAAAGGUUCGGGUUUUGCUCAAAACCCACGAGGUGCAAAAAUAAGAAAGUUGGCAUGACGUGCAUAUUGUGCUUGUUGAUCAAGACUUUCAAAGGUAUAAAAGAGGCGAUUACUUGCAUUUGAUUUGAAAGAAGUAUUUUGGAAAGGCAUUUGUUGCAACUGUAAGAUUAUUUUCUUCGGUCAUUGGCAUUUCGAUAACUUGGGGCCAAUGAGCCAAAAAUGUAAUAUCUGAAUCUUGUUUGAGAACAGAAGAAAGGAAGAUCUUUUGGGUAUUAA